UCUGUGAUGCAACAAACCAGCACCGCUUUGAUCCGAUAUUUUUUCUCCCCACUCAUUUCUCUACUCGCGUAGGGACCUCUCUGGAACCUGUGCCCCUUUCUCUCUCCCGGUCCUUCCAAUUACAUCUCCUUCACCACAAUCCCAUCACAAUCUCCUUCACCACAAUCCAAUUGCAACUCCUUCCAAUUGCCCCUUUCUCUCUCCCGGUCCUUCCAAUUGCAAUGUCUAUCCACAGCACUGCGGCAAGAGAUUUUGUGGUGGCCAACAGCUAGAAAGGAGGUGAUGAACAACGACAUGGGGAGCGGCUGCCACGGAAAGAGAGGAGGACGUCGGUGGCCGGUGGUGGGAGGGGAUGCAGCGUCGGCGUUUGGUGAUCGGAAGGAUGCAGUGGCCUAUCUAGAUCACAAACCCAGCGCCGUCGUCAGCGAAGAUGAAGAUCCUCCACUCCGUGCUCCCCUCUGGCCGAGGCGCACAAUCCAUGCGGGAAGAUGGAUCGGGAGUCAAGACCUUCGCCGAUGAAAAAAUCGCCGUCGAAGUCGCCUGAGCCCUCUUUUUGCAGUUGGCCGGGCGGAGGAGGGCAUGGGCCCGUCCCCUCUCUCUACCGAGGUCACACGUUUAUGGGAGGAGGCGAGGCGGCGGCACUCCUUCGGAUGCAUCUACGCUUGAUGCACCCUCUCUGUGCCUCUGUGGUGAUCCCUCUUUGUGUAGGACACGGCGAUGACUCCAUGGGUAGAUCUGGUGGGUGACUGCACGGCGCCGCUCUAAUUCAUUCACUUUCUAAGCCAGCGCUGAUUCCUCUAUUCCCUGCGGAGGGCUUCUCUGGCUGCUCCUGACAUUGAUUGAUGUGAUGGCCGAUGGACGUUCCUCUGGUCCUCGCUGUGUUGGGCUCUUUCUGGAGUGCGUCUCACCUUCAUGUCGACAACUUGGGUCUGCUGAUGCUGCGAUGUUAUUGGUGGUCUGGCUUGCGUCUUGAUCUGGUCGAAGGCAGCAUGUGUUCCGGCGUGGCUUUUGUGGUUGCUCCACACUCCAGCAAUUCUGCAGUUCAUGUGGGCGCUCGCAGGUGGAAUACAUCUAAUCAUUCUGCAGUAGGUUUCUUUUUCUCUCCUAAAUUUAAAGCAAUAUUUGUAUAUCCUGAAUACAAUUAAAUUUUAUUUCGCAAAAAAUACAUUUAAAUUUUAAAUAAGCGCAAAAGUGUCAGUUCCCAUGGUUAUGCAGUCGAUUAACCAAAGUGUCAGGCGGCUUAAAAAAACAAAGUGUCAGGCGACCUAGAUCAUGUAAUUCAUCAACCCCAAAAAUGCAGGGGCUAGAUUCAACUUCGUGUCCUGAUUCAUUAUCAUGUAUACCUUCCCUAUGUUAGUUGGAGUUACUCCUUGACUGGCAUCUGCACCAAUAUCUUCAAUUAAAACGGGCAUCUUUAUUUUAUCUCCCUACACAUCAGCAUUCCAAUCUGUUUUGAUUCUUUGGUCGAUAUAUCAGAUGUUUGCAUCAGACAAUUUCCUAAAAGCGACUUCUAGCUGUCUCACAAAUAUUUAAAACAGAUUGCAGGUGAAUUCUUUUAGAUGAAUUUAGUGCGCAAUUUCAGUACCACAAACUCUAUUGACUGUACAUUUACCGUUACAGCAUGGCAUUUCUAUUUUUAUGAUUCAUCUACCGGUAAGAUCUAUCAUCACAUGCAUAAUACUAAUUCAUAAUUUUCUGAUGUUUUGUUGGACUCCAAAGUAUUGAAACUAAUAGUUUGGAAAAGGAAAAUAAAAGAUGCCACAGAUAGACAAACAUAGUGAUUGUCUAGAUGAUUAAUUAUAGAUUAUAUGUAGAGUGAUAUGCUACCCAUCACACACUUUGCAUGGUCAUAUUUAUGGAUGCUGAUAGUGAAAAUUUUCCGUUUGUUAUUUUCAGAAAUUAGUUUGAUUGACGCGAAAACCUAAUUUGCGUCAUCAAGAGAGCAUCACAAGAUUCAGUCUCCCCUGUUCAAAUGUGUAAUGAGUCCAGGGCAUGCAUUGAAAAAUUCUUCCUUGAAAAACCAUAGUGAUCCUGAGAUAUUCAUCUGUGCACAAGUAUUUAGAUAGUAACGGAUUUCCAUAUUUGGGUGUAAAUGGUCAAUGCAUUUGCGUCUCUGCAUAUACUCCUAAGAUAUUCAUUUUAUGGUGAACCACUGAACCAUAUAUUCUUGGUAUGUUAAACAGUUUAGAAUUCUUAUCGACAUGCAAAUGCAGAUUAAGACUGCUUGGCCCCUCUGAUGUUGUAGGAGUGGGAUGCUCUUAUGCUAUCUAAUCUUGCUUUUGAGCAACAGGUACAAACAACAACACAUGAACUUAGUCAUGCAUUAUACGAGGUAUUUGCCAAUCUUUUCAAAUAGUUUCUUGAACUAUAAACAUGUUUUUCUUGGUUUCGACAAGAAAUUAUUCUACCUUUCAAAAAGAAAGCACAUAUUUGAUAUGGGGAUCCCAAGAACCGCACACUUGCCACUUAGUUAAGAUGUCUCUAGAGGGGUUCGGAGCUUCAUAAUCCAUAGCUGCCUCUGAAGUGCAAAUAUUGCCCGUGUUCUUUUGUUGAAACUAUGUGUUCCCUCAAGCAUACGUCUCUUUAUAUGGAUAUUUAUCAUUUCAUACUUACGCAUUUUACCAAUGUUUUCUUCGGUUGUUCUUUCUCUUAGGACCGACUAUCUACGUGAAGGAUCAGGUUUGUUGCACCUUUUUCAAUGGAGGCAUAAUGUAUGAAGUUAAGAUGCAAGAACCAUGUAUUGCUAUAUGAAGUUUUCUUUGGUUGUUCUUUGUUUAUCAGUGUGUUGACAACCAUCUUCUUUUGUUUCUGUUCUCUGCACCAUGUAUUGCUAUAUGAAGUUGCAAUUACCCAAUGCAUCAGAGUCUAUCAUCUCUCCUAUUUUUAUCCUGUUUUUAAUCGUUUCAGGAAACCUAUUAGUAA